UUGAAUAGUUAACAUUAAUAAUGGUUGGUCUUUUCAAAAGCUAAUUGACUAUUUUACAAUCGAUAACAAGAUUAAAGAUACCAAUAUCCAAACUAAUGAAUCCUGAAGUAGAUCCAAUAGAUACACUCAAGUUUACUGUCUUUGAAAAAUACCUUUGAAUUUAACGAAUUUAGAACAAUUAAAACCAAAUUUCAGAGUAUUGAUUGAAACCAAUGGGUCGGUUUGAUUGACCACUUUCUCUAGAAAAAAAAACAGUCCAAAGUGUCAAUUUGUUACCUUAUUAUUUGGCUUAAUUCUGGUAAAGUUUUUCCUUGUCAUUCCGUUCCUUAGAGAUAGAGAAGCAGAUUUACUCGAUUGUUUUUAUCCAUGAAUAAAUGAAAAAUCCAACUAUUUAAUGACCUAUCGGGCACAGAGGAAUUUAAAUUUCACUUGAACAUGCAAAUAAAUCAAAAAAUUGUUGAAUUUGGUUGAAUUGAAUUUGAUUAAAACUAAAACAUUAUAAAAAAAUAUUAAAUUUUAAACCAAAGACCAACUUAUCUUUGUUUUAAACCCAUUGUUCUCAUCGCCAUCUUACGAAAAAAUUGAAUAAUUAAACAAACACUGAUAAUUUUCCCUUUUUUAAUCAAUGAUUGACCCCUUGGAGUUGCUAACUUAAAAGCUUAAUGGUAUAAUCCUGUUGAAUUAUGUAAAUCAGUGAAGCUUUCAAUUCUUUAUAAUUGUUAUAUUACCAUCCGUUUUUCAUUAAUCUUGAUAUCUCUCUAUGUUUCACUCUCUAAUGGUGUUUACCUCUCCAAUAAUCAACAGUCUGAACCUAAUCAUAAUGGUCAAUAUUAUGUCCUGGGUUAUAACCUUUAAUCGGAUAAAAGCUAAUGAGACUUUAUCAAGGAUAGAUGAAGAGUUGAACGAAUUAUAAUUUCAAUCAUCAGCAGCAUCAUGUGUUCCUGGUCUCAUCUUUCUCUUCUCCUGAUAAAUAUCAUCAAAAUUCUUACCUCUAAGAAAAAAAGAGUUGCACAUCAAUAUUUAAUGUAAAUAACUUGGUUGGCGCCAUUAGAUCCAGUCAAACAUCUUUCUUGAUACUUACCACAUGAUGGUCACAUCUCGUUAUGUUCAUCGCCAACAGUAAACAUCAUCAGACUUACAUUUUUGGCUCCAAUUUUGAUAUUACAACAAUAUAAUUUCAAACUCCAAAUUAUGUUUAACCAUACUAUUUGCGAAACAGGUGUUCAAACAAGUGUUCAACAAUCAAGAAACCAUAAUGGCGAUGAAGAUGGAAGGACAUUGAUGGCAUCCAGCACAAUAAAGCAUUAUGCCAGCAUUAGAAGUAAAUAAUCACUGAAUAUCUUUUUUUCUGCUGCAUAAUUAUCAUCAUCAUUAAGUCAACUUGUCAGUCAACUUAUGCCUGUUAAAUUUGGCAAAAUAAGGCGGAAACUUGAUAAAUUUCUUGAUGAAUCUCUAAACUAGACCAGAUCAAAGUGGAGUAAACCAAAUCUAAUCAGAACGUUCACAAUUUUUCCGCUUUUACGCUUAUAUUUUGGCUUUUCACAUGGCUUUCCAAUUCAUGUGCAUUUUACGUUGGAUAAGCCCUGAAUGUAUAAAGCAUCAUACAAAUUUUCAAACCAAUUGGCAAACUUGACAAUGAAGGCUUGGAAAAGGGACAAUCUUCAGGAUUCUGGUUCCAUUGUUGGACUCUGGAUAAUUCAAGGCUGAAUUCAAUCGGUUCCCGCAACUGUUCAACUCCCGCCCACGUUUACGUCUAAAAUGCACAGAUUUUCCCUCAGUACUUCCACCUUUUUGCUAUCAAUUUGAAGUUAAUCAAGUAAUUCAAUUGAAACAAAGGCGAAUGAGAAGAGCUGAGUUGGGAACUAGGAUUUUCCCAGUGCCACCAUAAAUCUAACUACACAAGUAGCCACAACAAUAGUGCAACUCAAUGUGAAACAGUCUCGAUGAACUUUAAGUUUGAUUUAUUCAUUCAGAUGGAAAGAUAAAUGAAAGUAUCAAGUUUCCGGUUCACAUUGCAAGUUGAAAGGAAGAAAGGGAAACACGAAAGCAUCCAAAGAUUUAUCAUCAUGUGAUGAAGAGUUUUGUGUGUUGUCCUGUCAAAAUUGUAAACUGAUGAUGACGAUGAUGAUGGUUUUCCCAAAAAGAAGCAGAUUUAAAAUCAGAAGGAAAAUAAACAAAGACAAAAAUCUAAUUACAAAAAUCCUGGUGACGUUGGUUAACCUCUUCGCCUUACAAUUUGUUUUCCACCGGAAUGAUAACAAUUAACAAUCUGAAUUAUAGCGUAAUAAUUUUGAUGUCUUGGAAACAAUAAAUAAGAAAGCAAAAGUAACGUUGGAUUGAUUAAUGAAAUGGUUGAUGAACAUGUUUACCCGAUCCGAUGAUUUUAAACUUUCACCACAAAAUUGCAUUUUAAAUUGCUAUUUCCAAUUAUUGCAGUUAAUUUAUUGUCAAAUUUUUAUCCAGUUGAAACAAUCGUUAAAUUGAUCUCACACGAAAAAAGACUAACCAGAAUGGAAAUGACCAAGGAUGGCUUGAUUCAAUCAUUCAGAUAUCUUUAAUUUUUACAUGAUCAACACAAAACCUGAUCAUCAAUUAUCAGAUUGAUAAACAUCGUUUACUGAUCAUUGAUCUAAUGUCUUAUUGCUGUUGCAUUUCAAUGUCAAUGAAUGAACCUUUUCUUUACCUCUGCUAUUACUUUUUAAAUUGUUCAUCUUAAUCAAGUUGAUUAUCACGAUGAUCACCAUCAGCAUCCUAAUAAUCAAUUUAAUCAUUCUCAUCAUCAUUCUCAAUUCUAAUAAAUUUCCUUGCAAGGCGUGUUCAAUACUUGCAUUCAUGUAAGUAUGAAUAAAUAUAAAUCUAACCCAUUAAGGGUAAAGUCAGGUACAAACUGUAAAGCAAGCAAUCUCAAACAUUUAUCAUUUAACCUAACAAAUGGAUGGAUUCACAAAAGGUUAAGGACAUUACAAUCACUAUUGACUGCUGUGGCUAUUCCAAGUUUCGGACAUUCCAUUAUUCACUUGCUUUCCAUGAUACAGUUUAAUGUCAACGAUUCAUUAUAUUACAUGAGUAUUAUUGAAAGCUAUAUGCCCUGAGGAAGAGACAAUGAAAAUAAUUGAGUUUUUAAAUAACUUUUGGUCUCAACUGGAUGGGAAAAGCUUACUGGAAAAAUAUUUGCUGUUAUACUUUAAUCAGAUUUCAGUCUAAAAGUCAAUCAAAAAACAUUGGCAACCGGAGUUUCGUUUGGAUCAUUGAUAACUUGUUCAAUCAUCAUAUAAAUGUUGAUAAUUGUUCCAUAAUCUGUUUUUGGAUGGUAAAGCUGUUAAAAAACAGCUUACCAAUAUUUACUUCAACCAUAAUCACCUUGCUAAAUACAAGUAAACCAAAGUGAAGAAGACGCAAAACUCCCAACUCUGAAUUAUCUUCAUUUUCUUAUUUCUUUUUUUCUUUUUCUUCU